UGUUUAACUGACAUGAUUGUGGGACGUCCUACCGGUGGACUUAGCCUCCAUCUCUUCGGAUUUAGGGGCGGUCCAGCUAAUAUCCCAUCGCGGUGCUUUUCAUCGAGUGUCGAGGUGGGCCGGUACGUUUACUUUGAACAAAUUAGAGUGCUCAAAGCAGGCCAUUCUCGCCUGAAUACUGUGUGCAUGGAAUAAUGGAAUAGG
rnacentral:rRNA from 4 species